GGGAUCCAGCCGGUUCUCUCCGGUUCUGCCGAACCGUUUGUUAAAAUUACAGGCGGUUCGCAGGACCGGUGAGAAGCAGGGAUCCCGACCCGGUCCUGCAGCUGCGCCUGCACCCCUGUAUUUUUCAGCCUGCGGCCGUUACUUACAGUCAGUCAGCGUGAGCGUGGCUGUGUGUGUGUCAGCCAGUCUUCCACAGUGCUGCCGCCCUCCCCCCGCCCCCAGCCUCGCAGUCAUGGCAACAAAGGGGAGUGUCUUGAGAGUGAGCAGCGCCGCGAAGCUGCCAGCCCAGAACAGAGAAGGAGAGAGGAGUCCUCUCACUGUCUGCAGAGUGCCCUAGUUGCUGACAGUCCACACCCCACACACAGCCAUGAAAGAUUGAAGAGCCGGCCCCUAGCCUAACAGAAAGGAGUCUGGACAGGUCAGGACUCAGGACAGCCUGGUGUGUCUUAUAAGGCGGAAUAUAGGUUCCUCAAGCCAGCGAUUGUUUGAGGCAGAGAGAAGAUAGGAGGACCACACAGAGGAGAAGCCAACUGCUGCUGACGGGACCAGGGCCAGGCACAUUACAGGCAUUUGCUCUUCUGCAUUCUUUGAAACCUGUGAAGGAUCUAACUACCACUGAGCAAUAUAGUCCAUUUUCCAACGUCAUUCGUCAUCAACUCCAACCUGAACAGUUCUAAGGACUCUGACCUAAUCAUCGAAAGCAGUA